GCUUGUCUCAAAGAUUAAGCCAUGCACGUCUAAGUAUAAGCGAUUAUACUGUGAAACUGCGAAUGGCUCAUUAUAUCAGUUAUAGUUUAUUUGAUGGUCCUUGCUACUUGGAUAACCGUAGUAAUUCUAGAGCUAAUACAUGCAUCAAACCCCGACUCACGAAGGGGUGUAUUUAUUAGAUGGAAACCAAUGCGGGGCAACCCGGUUCAUGGUGAUUCAUAAUAACUUUCGGAUCGACCUUUCGGUCGAUGCAUCAUUCAAGUUUCUGCCCUAUCAGUUGUGGAUGGUAGGGUAUUGGCCUACCAUGACUUUAACGGGUAACGGAGAAUUAGGGUUCGAUUCCGGAGAGGGAGCCUGAGAAAUGGCUACCACAUCCAAGGAAGGCAGCAGG
rnacentral:rRNA from 1 species